AUUGAACGCUGGCGGCAUGCCUUACACAUGCAAGUCGAACGGCAGCGGGCCUUCGGGUGCCGGCGAGUGGCGAACGGGUGAGUAAUGCAUCGGAACGUGCCAUUGAGUGGGGGAUAACGUAGCGAAAGUUGCGCUAAUACCGCAUAUUCUGUGAGCAGGAAAGCAGGGGACCGCAAGGCCUUGCGCUCUUUGAGCGGCCGAUGUCAGAUUAGCUAGUUGGUGAGGUAAAGGCUUACCAAGGCGACGAUCUGUAGCGGGUCUGAGAGGAUGAUCCGCCACACUGGAACUGAGACACGGUCCAGACUCCUACGGGAGGCAGGCAGUGGGGAAUUUUGGACAAUGGGGGCAACCCUGAUCCAGCCAUGCCGCGUGAGUGAAGAAGGCCUUCGGGUUGUAAAGCUCUUUCGGCCGGGAAGAAAUCGCAUGGGUGAAUACCCUGUGUGGAUGACGGUACCGGAACAAGAAGCACCGGCUAACUACGUGCC
rnacentral:rRNA from 1 species